rnacentral:rRNA from 1 species
CCUUCACACUGUGCGAGAGCACGAUGAGGGGAUCCCAAGUGCUAGCUCGUAAGAGUUAGCUGUUUCUUUGUCUAAAAAAACAGAGAGAGUAAGGGCUGGGUAAGACGGGUGCCAGCCGCCGCGGUAAUACCUGCAGCUCAAGUGGUGGCCGCUAUUAUUGGGCCUAAAACGUUCGUAGCCGGUUUAGUAAAUGCUUGGGUAAAUUGUGUCGCUUAACGAUACGAAUACCGGGUAGACUGCUAAACUUGGGACCGGGAGAGGCUAGAGGUACUCCUGGGGUAGAGGUGAAAUUCUGUAAUCCUGGGGGGACCACCAGUGGCGAAGGCGUCUAGCCAGAACGGGUCUGACGGUGAGGAACGAAGCCCUGGGGCGCAAACCGGAUUAGAUACCCGGGUAGUCCAGGGUGUAAACGCUGCUCGCUUGAUGUUAGUUGGGCUCCGAGCCCAACUAGUGUCGGAGAGAAGUUGUUAAGCGAGCUGCCUGGGAAUGCGGUCGCAAGACUGAAACUUAAAGGAAUU